rnacentral:rRNA from 1 species
AUUGAACGCUGGCGGCAUGCCUUACACAUGCAAGUCGAACGGUAACAGGUCUUCGGAUGCUGACGAGUGGCGAACGGGUGAGUAAUACAUCGGAACGUGCCUAGUAGUGGGGGAUAACUACUCGAAAGAGUGGCUAAUACCGCAUGAGAUCUACGGAUGAAAGCAGGGGAUCGCAAGACCUUGUGCUACUAGAGCGGCCGAUGGCAGAUUAGGUAGUUGGUGGGAUAAAAGCUUACCAAGCCGACGAUCUGUAGCUGGUCUGAGAGGACGAUCAGCCACACUGGGACUGAGACACGGCCCAGACUCCUACGGGGGGCAGCAGUGGGGAAUUUUGGACAAUGGGCGAAGGCCUGAUCCAGCAAUGCCGCGUGCAGGAUGAAGGCCUUCGGGUCGUAAACUGCUUUUGUACGGAACGAAAAGCCCUGGGUUAAUACCCUGGGGUCAUGACGGUACCGUAAGAAUAAGCACCGGCUAACUACGUGCCAGCCGCCGCCGUAA